rnacentral:lncRNA from 1 species
GUUUGGUUUGCCAUCACUUUUUGUGACUUUUCUGACAUCUGCAAGUGUCGGAAGUGUGACCUGAAACAUUUAAGGACACUUCUGCCUGAACCAUGGGCAGAUGUUUAGACUCCAAGAUACAGAGGAGGAGGGUCUUGGAGGUUUCUUAGUAUAAGUUCCUCCCUGUGGUACUUGCAGUUCCUACAAGGGGCUGUCAGAGAAACAAGCCGGAGCAGAAGAGCAAGACAUGGUCCUGGUGCAUGAAAGGAGCCUAAGAAAGAAGAGUGAAAGCUGCACGUGUUCUACCUCCAGAAAGCCAUAAAAGAGAAAAGAAUGUUGUACCAAACUAAGCAAAUGAAGCAUGAAAUGAAAAGCCGGUUGAGCUGGGAGGUAUAAAGAAUGGAAAGGAAGCAGCUACCACCCCUGGUAACCCCAUCAAUCCGGAGAAGCUUCGCAGAGUUACACUGUGCUCUGUCGGAGGAAGUCUAAAAUAACACAUGGGUGUCUCGGCCUUGGCACAGCUAAACCCUGGAACAUUGAACUGAAGUCAUAACAAUGGGUAAUAUUUUAAUAUAAUGAAAAAUUAUCAUUAACUUUUCUCGACAGGAAGGAAAUGAAUUUUCCUCAUUGUACACAUUCCGAGAAAAAUGAGGCUAAGACUAUUUCAAAGGAUGUUCUACCUAAUUCGAAUGGGCUUUAAGUGCCAUCUUCACAAUAGCGCCAGAGUCUGGUGUCAGCAAACUGAACAAAUAGAGCUACAGGGAGCGAAUGGGGCUGGGUGCCUCUCCAAAACAUAUGCAGAUGAACUUGAGAUUUCAGAGGACGGUUAAUCCUACACAGCAGUCAAGUGCCUUCCCAGGGGGCUCCCUUCCAAACACUGGCUGCCACGUCAAACCAAAGGGGACGAGCAAUCAGACUCACCUCAAACGCCAGUUAAGAAAGCCGGCCUUACUUAAGCAAUCAAGGGCAAGUGAUCAGCCAACUCUGCUUUCUUUCCUUUCUCUUGGAUCAUUUAUAGACCUUGUGGCCGUGGCCACCACAUUGAGAAGCCCUUGGUCUCUACUUGGACUCACUAUAGCAGGU